CUGAAAUGUAAAGAACUUCUAUUGAAAGGUUCCAGAGUAGGCGCUACAACGCCGAAAUGACCCUUCUCACCCUUGUGUACUCACCAUGUUGCUUUGGCGGGCCGACCCGGUUCCGACCCGGGCGGCCGGCGCCCCCAGCCCUUGACUGGGCCAGGACGCCCGGCCAAGUGCCCGCCAGUAUACAAAACUCAAGAAUUCAUCUUGUGAAGUCCUGAUAUAUCAUAUUCAAUUGAUUA
rnacentral:misc_RNA from 1 species